rnacentral:rRNA from 1 species
CACGUAGGGGACGAGCGUUGUCCGGAUUCAUUGGGCGUAAAGAGCGCGCAGGCGGUCGAUCAAGUCGCGUGUGAAAGCCCCCGGCUCAACUGGGGAGGGUCACGCGAUACUGAUCGACUCGAAGGCAGGAGAGGGUAGUGGAAUUCCCGGUGUAGUGGUGAAAUGCGCAGAUAUCAGGAGGAACACCGGUGGCGAAGGCGGGUCUCUGGGCCGAUACUGACGCUGAGGAGCGAAAGCGUGGGGAGCGAACAGG